GUGGGGAAUAUUGGACAAUGGGCGCAAGCCUGAUCCAGCCAUGCCGCGUGAGUGAUGAAGGCCUUAGGGUUGUAAAGCUCUUUCACCGAUGAAGAUAAUGACGGUAGUCGGAGAAGAAGCCCCGGCUAACUUCGUGCCAGCAGCCGCGGUAAUACGAAGGGGGCUAGCGUUGUUCGGAUUUACUGGGCGUAAAGCGCACGUAGGCGGUUUGUUAAGUCAGAGGUGAAAUCCCGGAGCUCAACUCCGGAACUGCCUUUGAUACUGGCAAGCUAGAGUCCGGAAGAGGUAAGUGGAACUCCUAGUGUAGAGGUGGAAUUCGUAGAUAUUAGGAAGAACACCAGUGGCGAAGGCGGCUUACUGGUCCGGAACUGACGCUGAGGUGCGAAAGCGUGGGGAGCAAACAGGAUUAGAAACCCUGGUAGUCC
rnacentral:rRNA from 1 species